GGUGAACGCUGGCGGUGUGCCUAAUACAUGCAAGUCGAGCGACAGGACGAUAAGAUCUCUCCCUUGCUGGUAGCGGGGGGCGGACGAGUGACGCGUGCAUCACCUACUUCUUAUUCGUGGAGAACUUCGUGAGACCGCUGCCGCUACUGCAUCAUACUUUCUACCGCUUAGUUCAAAAGUUAUUCGCACCCUUCCCGUCUCUUUUAGACGGAUCCGCGCUGCAUUAGCUAGUUGGUAAGGGAACGGCUUACCAAGGCGACGAUGCGUAGCCGAUCUGAGAGGGUGAUCGGCCACACUGGAACUGAGACACGGUCCAGACUCCUACGGGAGGCAGCAGUGGGGAAUAUUGGGCAAUGGGCGAAAGCCUGACCGAGCAACGCCGCGUGGGUGAUGAAGGCCUUCGGAUUGUAAAACUCUUUUGUUAGGGAAGAAAAGAUGCAGGAGAAACUGUGGACAUUCUGACGGUACCUAAACAGAAAGCACCGGCUAACUUCGUG
rnacentral:rRNA from 1 species